GUCGACGGCAGCACGGGAGCAAUCCUGGUGGCGAGUGGCGAACGGGUGAGUAAUGUAUCGGAACGUACCUUUCAGUGGGGGAUAACGUAGCGAAAGUUACGCUAAUACCGCAUAUUCUGUGAGCAGGAAAGCAGGGGAUCGCAAGACCUUGCGCUGAUUGAGCGGCCGAUAUCAGAUUAGCUAGUUGGUGAGGUAAAGGCUCACCAAGGCGACGAUCUGUAGCGGGUCUGAGAGGAUGAUCCGCCACACUGGAACUGAGACACGGUCCAGACUCCUACGGGAGGCAGCAGUGGGGAAUUUUGGACAAUGGGGGCAACCCUGAUCCAGCCAUGCCGCGUGAGUGAAGAAGGCCUUCGGGUUGUAAAGCUCUUUCAGCCGGGAAGAAAUCACAUGGGUUAAUACCCUGUGUGGAUGACGGUACCGGAAUAAGAAGCACCGGCUAACUACGUGCCAGCAGCCGCGGUAAUACGUAGGGUGCGAGCGUUAAUCGGAAUUACUGGGCGUAAAGCGUGCGCAGGCGGUUUGUUAAGAUAGGCGUGAAAUCCCCGGGCUCAACCUGGGAACUGCGUUUAUGACUGGCAGGCUAGAGUAUGGCAGAGGGGGGUGGAAUUCCACGUGUAGCAGUGAAAUGCGUAGAGAUGUGGAGGAACACCGAUGGCGAAGGCAGCCCCCUGGGCCAAUACUGACGCUCAUGCACGAAAGCGUGGGUAGCAAACAGGAUUAGAUACCCUGGUAGUC
rnacentral:rRNA from 1 species